rnacentral:rRNA from 1 species
CCGAACCGACUAGUGUUGCAAAAUUAGCGGAUGAGCUGUGGAUAGGGGUGAAAGGCUAAACAAAUCUGGAGAUAGCUGGUUCUCCCCGAAAACUAUUGAGGUAGUGCCUCGUGUAUGACUCCAGGGGGUAGAGCACUGUUAUGGCUAGGGGGACAUGGCGUCUUACCAAACCAUGGCAAACUCCGAAUACUUGGAAGUUUGAGCACGGGAGACAGAGCACCGGGUGCUAACGUCCGGACUCAAGAGGGAAACAACCCAGACCGCCGGCUAAGGUCCCUAAUAUUGACUAAGUGGAAAACGAAGUGGAAAGGCUAAGACAGUCAGGAAGUUGGCUUAGAAGCAGCCAUCCUUCAAAGAAAGCGUAAUAGCUCACUGAUCGAGUCUUUCUGCGCGGAAGAUGUAACGGGGCUAAGUCAAUAACCGAAGCCGCGGAUUCACACUUAUGUGUGAGUGGUAGGGGAGCGUUCUGUAAGCCUGCGAAGGUGACUCGUAAGGGUUGCUGGAGGUAUCAGAAGUGCGAAUGCUGACAUGAGUAACGUUAAAGCGGGUGAAAAGCCCGCUCGCCGUAAGCCCAAGGUUUCCUGCUCUACGUUCAUCGGAGCAGGGUGAGUCGGCCCCUAAGGUGAGGCUGAGAAGCGUAACUGAUGGGAACAAGGUUAAUAUUCCUUGACCACCGCUGAAUGCGAAGGGGGGACGGAGUAUUGAAGAUCAUCCGGGUGUUGGAUAUCCCGGUUUGCGAGCGUAGGAGGCUGACAGGCAAAUCCGUCAGCGAAUCUCCGAGGCGAAGCAUCGAGCUCUCUUUUGAGCGAAGUGAUUGGAUGUGCUUCCAGGAAAAGCCUCUAAGCUCCAGUUCAGCGGGACCGUACCGCAAACCGACACUGGUGGGCGAGCUGAAUAUGCUCAGGCGCUUGAGAGAACUCAGGAGAAGGAACUCGGCAAAUUGACACCGUAACUUCGGGAUAAGGUGUGCCUUUGUAGCGUGGAGGGAGAAACACCCCGAGCGCGAAGAGGUCUCAGAUAAUCGGUGGCUGCGACUGUUUAUUAAAAACACAGCACUCUGCAAAGACGAAAGUCGACGUAUAGGGUGUGAUGCCUGCCCGGUGCUGGAAGAUUAAUUGAUGGGGUGCAAGCUCCUGAUCGAAGUCCCAGUAAACGGCGGCCGUAACUAUAACGGUCCUAAGGUAGCGAAAUUCCUUGUCGGGCAAGUUCCGACCUGCACGAAUGGCAUAACGAUGGCCACACUGUCUCCUCCUGAGACUCAGUGAAGUUGAAGUGUUUGUGAUGAUGCAAUCUCCCCGCGGCUAGACGGAAAGACCCCAUGAACCUUUACUGUAGCUUUGCAUUGGACUUUGAACCGAUCUGUGUAGGAUAGGCGGGAGCCUGUGAAACCACAACGCCAGUUGUGGCGGAGGCGUCCUUGAAAUACCGCCCUGAUUUGUUUGAGGUUCUAACCUGGGACAGUUAUCCUGUCCGGGGACCGUGCAUGGUAGGCAGUUUGACUGGGGCGGUCUCCUCCUAAAGGGUAACGGAGGAGUGCGAAGGUACGCUAGGUACGGUCGGAAAUCGUGCUGAUAGUGCAAUGGCAAAAGCGUGCUUGACUGCGAGACCCACAAGUCGAGCAGAUACGAAAGUAGGUCAUAGUGAUCCGGUGGCUCUGUAUGGAAGGGCCAUCGCUCAACGGAUAAAAGGUACUCUGGGGAUAACAGGCUGAUACCGCCCAAGAGUUCAUAUCGACGGCGGUGUUUGGCACCUCGAUGUCGGCUCAUCUCAUCCUGGGGCUGUAGCCGGUCCCAAGGGUAUGGCUGUUCGCCAUUUAAAGAGGUACGUGAGCUGGGUUUAAAACGUCGUGAGACAGUUUUGUCCCUAUCUGCCGUGGGCGCUGGAAGAUUGACGGGGGCUGCUCCUAGUACGAGAGGACCGGAGUGGACUCACCUCUGGUGUACCGGUUGUCACGCCAGUGGCAUCGCCGGGUAGCUAUGUGGGGAA